GUUCCCNANACGCNGGCGGCGUUCCUNACCAUGCANGUCGAACGAGAAAGGGUUCUUCGGAACCCGAGUAAAGUGGCGCACGGGUGAGUAACGCGUAGAUAAUCUCCCCUUUUGUCAGGGAUAACCAGCCGAAAGGCUGACUAAUACCUGAUAAGCUUGUUGUCCAUAGGGAUAAUCAGGAAAGGUGGCCUCUAUUUAUAAGCUACCGCAGAAGGAUGAGUCUGCGUACCAUUAGCUAGUUGGUGGGGUAAAAGCCUACCAAGGCCACGAUGGUUAGCGGGUCUGAGAGGAUGAUCCGUCACACUGGCACUGAAACACGGGCCAGACUCCUACGGGAGGCAGCAGUGAGGAAUAUUGCGCAAUGGGGGAAACCCUGACGCANCGACGCCGCGUGAGUGAGGAAGGCCUUCGGGUCGUAAAAUCCUGUCANAUGGAAAGAAAUGUAUGGUGGUUAAUANCUUCCUAUUUGACGGUCCAUCAANGAACACCCGCUACUCCUCCACCACCCGGUAUUCCGAAGGUGCANCUUNUUCGAAUUCUGGCUAAACCCC
rnacentral:rRNA from 1 species